CCUACGGGAGGCAGCAGUGGGGGAUAUUGCACAAUGGGGGAAACCCUGAUGCAGCGACGCCGCGUGGGUGAAGAAGCGCCUCGGCGCGUAAAGCCCUGUCAGCAGGGAAGAAAAUGACGGUACCUGAAGAAGAAGCCCCGGCUAACUACGUGCCAGCAGCCGCGGUAAUACGUAGGGGGCAAGCGUUCUCCGGAUUUACUGGGUGUAAAGGGGGCGCAGACGGCGAUGCAAGCCAGGCGUGAAAGCCCGGGGCCCAACCCCGGGACUGCUCUUGGUACUGCGUGGCUAGAGUGCAGGAGAGGCAGGCGGAAUUCCUGGGGUAGCGGUGAAAUGCGUAGAUAUCAGGAGGAACACCGGUGGCGAAGGCGGCCUGCUGGACUGCAACUGACGUUGAGGCGCGAAAGCGUGGGGAGCAAACAGGAUUAGAUACCCGGGUAGUC
rnacentral:rRNA from 1 species